rnacentral:rRNA from 1 species
UACAGAGGUCCCGAGCGUUGUUCGGAUUCACUGGGCGUAAAGGGUGCGUAGGUGGCCUAGAAAGUUUGAUGUGAAAGCUCAGGGCUUAACCCUGAAAUGGCAUUGAAUACUGCUGUGCUGGAGGUUUGGAGGGGGGACUGGAAUUCUUGGUGUAGCAGUGAAAUGCGUAGAUAUCAAGAGGAACACCAGUGGCGAAGGCGAGUCCCUGGACAACACCUGACACUGAGGCACGAAAGCUAGGGGAGCAAACAGG